GAAACCGAUUAAGGAUAAAAGUGAACCGAAUGGGUGAUUUGAGAUUGUUGAAAGCUUGUGGCUAACUUGUGAGCCAUAAAUGAAAAUUGACACAUAUGUUUGGACAUGUUUUGAUGUGUUUGAGAUAUCUAAAUGUAGAUAUUGGCUUUUUGGCGACAUUUGAGCAUUUUAACCAAUUUGGAGCAUCAUAGUAGUAUCUUGGAGCUUGAAGUUGAGGUUGAGGUGUGGCACGUGAUAAUCGGACAAGGCUAGGAUGACUCUCUUCCCAAGAUUAAGGUGUGAUGAGUUGAGUUCAAUGUGGUUAAUGGAUAGAUCGUUAUAAGGUAUGUAAAGGAUAUUCCCUUUCUUUUCUUGGCAUGAUUCUAGUUUCGGAGAGGAUCCGAACAAGCUUAUUGAAAGAAUAACUCAAAUCUUUAUUCAAGCAUUAGUAUAUCACUAAUAGCAUAUCAUUGUGUGUCCCUUGUCGGGAGUACAUCUCAGUCUAUACAUUAUUGUGAUUGGCUGUUGAGAUAGAAAAUAUAUGCAUAUUAGAGUAUUUGCCUUCGAGGCUAUAUUAGUCUUUCUUUCAAGGCUAUGCUACUCUUGCCUUCGGGGCUAUAUUACUCUUGCCUUCGGGGCUACAUUACUGUUGCCUUCGGGGAUAUGUUACUCUUGCCUUCAAAGCGAUGUUACUCUUGCCUUCGGGGAUAUCUAAAAAUGGAGUUUAUCAAGAGGUAAUUUUACUAUUCAAUCUUUCUAUAUUGCGUAUAAAUGAGUACAAAGAAGACGUUUUGGAGCAAAAAUCAUGAUAUAAUUAAGGUAUUGGAUGAACCCUAAAAGUGGGUUUUGUGAAGGAGAUUGAGUAGUUAGUAGGAUGAUGAAUAGUGACUUGUUGGUAGUGGGUAAUUGAUGUAGUAUCUUAAUGAUCCCAAAUGCAUGUUACAUGCUUAGAAUGAAACUGAUUAAGGAUAAAAGUCAACUGAAUGGGCGAUUUGAGAUUGUUGAAAGCUUGUCGGUAACUUGUGAGAUGUAAAUGAAAAUUGACAGAGAUGUUUUGAUGUGUUUGAUUUAUCUAAAUGUAGAUAUCGACUGUUGGUGAUGUUUGAGCAUUUUAACCAAUUUGGAACGUCGUAGUAAUAUCUUGGAGCUUGAAGUUGAGGUAAGUUAAGACUUGCUCUUCUUGUGGUGUUUGGUCUACAUGUUUACAAAUGAAUUAUGUAUAAAUGUGAGUCCGUGCUUGUCGGGGACAGCGAGUGCGAGUCUCUCCAUAUUUUAUAAUUAUAUUGCAUAUAAAGUACCAUUGAUUUAUAAACAAUAAAUUGACAUGGAAAUAUAGCGAUGAAGCUAAUUGUUGAAGUGGCAGAAGUAAAAUCUCAUUAGUUUAUGAAGGCUUGCAUUAAUGCUAAAGGAAUGGAAAGGAAUUUAAGUAAAGAUUUUAAAUUUGUCUUAAAUAAAGUAUUGUGUCGAAAGUGCUAUUUCUUUUGAAUAAAUUAUAUUCAUUGGUAUUUAUACUUUUAAGAACUAAAUGGAUUGAAAAUAACACUUGUUGAAUACUAAGUAUUUUAAAUUCUCAUUUGAUAAUUUUAUUUUAGUAUAUUUGAGAAAAGGUUUACAUUUGAUUAUGUUCAAAAUGAGUUGGAUUGGCUAUGAAUGCCAUGAUUUGAUGUAAAAAGAAAAAAGAUCUUUUCGAGCUAAUAUGCUAUGAAUCUCUAUCUAAAUACCAAAUAUUUUGGGAGUUACUUGUGAUCACCGAGAUUGGUUUCAGAUACAUUCUGAUUGUCGCCAUGAAACUACACUUGCCGGUGUAGGCAUGGGCUCUACCUAAUGGUAAAGCGCUACGCAGAGUGCCCCCAUGAGAGGGUAGUGUUGUGCUAUAAUAGCAUGACUGAGUCAAUUCGUACGACACUACGAUGAGACGACCUAAGCAAGUACGGUGUACGAUACUUGCCGCUAGGUUGAUCACCUAGUUGACCUUGGAUCUUGUGUCGGUGUUGGUAUAGUGCUCCCGGUGAAAGGUAAUAAAGGAUUUGAUUACAUUUAGGCCUAAGGAGCCAAAAGUGAUUUCAAAUGAUUCACUGAAUUAAUUUAAAUCAGGUUUGAGAAGAUUCUCGUGUAUUCAUUAUUUAAUGUUUUUUAGGUUGAUGUGAAAUAGAGCUUACACGUGACUUUCAAUUUCAAAUAUUGAAAUUGUGACUUGAUAUAAAUGUUUUCUAUUAGUGAUACUUGCAUUGAUUUCCCAAUAAAAUCUUGUCCCAGCUUUGAGUUGGAGAGAGUCAAUGAUACUUACUAGUACUGUGACGGUGUACUCGCCCUCUUUUGGGGCCCUCUAUUUUUCAUAUUUCGGUUGAGGUGUGGCACGUGAUAAUCGGACAAGGCUAGGAUGACUCUCUUCCCAAGGUAUAUGUUGGACACCGCUUCUAUCCCGUGGUGACUAACAUGUUGUUUCUUGUUUUUUUAAGCCGGGAAUUGUCCCAAGCUCUUAGUAUUAUUCUUUGGUUUAGAGGCUCCAUAGACUGGUUAUGUCGAGUUGUAAUAAUAGGAGUGUACACAACAUACAUGAAAGGAUUGUUAUUUUGUUUCAGUUUUAUUAUUUAUUUGAAAGGUUUCAUGUACUA